rnacentral:rRNA from 1 species
UGGGGAAUAUUGCACAAUGGGCGCAAGCCUGAUGCAGCCAUGCCGCGUGUAUGAAGAAGGCCUUUGGGUUGUAAAGUACUUUCAGUCGGGAGGAAGGUGGUAAGGUUAAUAACCUUGGCAAUUGACGUUACCGACAGAAGAAGCACCGGCUAACUCCGUGCCAGCAGCCGCGGUAAUACGGAGGGUGCAAGCGUUAAUCGGAAUUACUGGGCGUAAAGCGCACGCAGGCGGUUGAUUGAGUCAGAUGUGAAAUCCCCGGGCUUAACCCGGGAAUUGCAUCUGAUACUGGUCAGCUAGAGUCUUGUAGAGGGGGGUAGAAUUCCAUGUGUAGCGGUGAAAUGCGUAGAGAUGUGGAGGAAUACCGGUGGCGAAGGCGGCCCCCUGGACAAAGACUGACGCUCAGGUGCGAAAGCGUGGGGAGCAAACAGG